AAGAUACUUUAUAGAAUCAGUUCUGUAGGAGUUGAUCUUAUUCUCCCUUCCUAGCAUAGGAGUUGAUGUAACCAGGAUGAGAAGCGAUAGCCUUCCUUCAGCGUGAGAACGACACGAGUUCUCGACCUGUUCGAGAUCUCUGUCAUCGGUGAUCGUUUAUCUUCUGCACUCAAUACAAGGGUAAUGGAACGAAGGGCUUUCUGCGCGAU